UUAGGGAUCUUGCGCAAUGGGCUAACGCCUGACGCAGCGACGCCGCGUGGGGGAGGACGGCCCUCGGGUUGUAAACCCCUUUUCUCCGGGACGAGGACGGACGGUACCGGAGGAAGAAGCACCGGCUAACCCCGUGCCAGCAGCCGCGGUAAUACGGGGGGUGCGAGCGUUGUCCGGAUUCACUGGGCGUAAAGGGCGCGUAGGCGGCCGGGUCAGUCGGUCCUUUAAGAGCGGGGCUCACCCCCGUGAGGGGACCGGGACGGCCUGGCUGGGGCGCGGCAGAGGGGGACGGAAUGCCGGGUGUAGUGGUGAAAUGCGUAGAGAUCCGGCGGAACACCGGUGGCGCAGGCGGUCCCCUGGGCCGAGGCCGACGCUGAGGCGCGAGAGCGCGGGGAGCGAACCG
rnacentral:rRNA from 1 species